rnacentral:rRNA from 1 species
AACGAGCGCUGGCGGCAGGCUUAACACAUGCAAGUCGAACGGUGUAGCAAUACUCAGUGGCAGACGGGUGAGGAACACGUGGGAACAUCCCUUUCGGUUCGGAAUAACGUUGGGAAACUAACGCUAAUACCGGAUACGUCCUUCGGGAGAAAGAUUUAUUGCCGAGAGAUUGGCCCGCGUCUGAUUAGCUAGUUGGUGAGGUAACGGCUCACCAAGGCUACGAUCAGUAGCUGAUCUGAGAGGAUGAUCAGCCACAUUGGGACUGAGACACGGCCCAAACUCCUACGGGAGGCAGCAGUGGGGAAUAUUGGACAAUGGGCGCAAGCCUGAUCCAGCCAUGCCGCGUGAGUGAUGAAGGCCUUCGGGUUGUAAAGCUCUUUUAUCCGGGAAGAUAAUGACUGUACCGGAAGAAUAAGCCCCGGCAAACUUCGUGCCAGCAGCCGCCGUAA